AACGCUAGCUACAGGCUUAACACAUGCAAGUCGAGGGGCAGCAUGGUCUUAGCUUGCUAAGGCCGAUGGCGACCGGCGCACGGGUGAGUAACACGUAUCCAACCUGCCGUCUACUCUUGGACAGCCUUCUGAAAGGAAGAUUAAUACAAGAUGGCAUCAUGAGUCCGCAUGUUCACAUGAUUAAAGGUAUUCCGGUAGACGAUGGGGAUGCGUUCCAUUAGAUAGUAGGCGGGGUAACGGCCCACCUAGUCUUCGAUGGAUAGGGGUUCUGAGAGGAAGGUCCCCCACAUUGGAACUGAGACACGGUCCAAACUCCUACGGGAGGCAGCAGUGAGGAAUAUUGGUCAAUGGGCGAGAGCCUGAACCAGCCAAGUAGCGUGAAGGAUGACUGCCCUAUGGGUUGUAAACUUCUUUUAUAAAGGAAUAAAGUCGGGUAUGGAUACCCGUUUGCAUGUACUUUAUGAAUAAGGAUCGGCUAACUCCGUGCCAGCAGCCGCGGUAAUACGGAGGAUCCGAGCGUUAUCCGGAUUUAUUGGGUUUAAAGGGAGCGUAGAUGGAUGUUUAAGUCGGUUGUGAAAGUUUGCGGCUCAACCGUAAAAUUGCAGUUGAUACUGGAUAUCUUGAGUGCAGUUGAGGCAGGCGGAAUUCGUGGUGUAGCGGUGAAAUGCUUAGAUAUCACGAAGAACUCCGAUUGCGAAGGCAGCCUGCUAAGCUGCAACUGACAUUGAGGCUCGAAAGUGUGGGUAUCAAACAGGAUUAGAUACCCUGGUAGUCCACACGGUAAACGAUGAAUACUCGCUGUUUGCGAUAUACAGCAAGCGGCCAAGCGAAAGCGUUAAGUAUUCCACCUGGGGAGUACGCCGGCAACGGUGAAACUCAAAGGAAUUGACGGGGGCCCGCACAAGCGGAGGAACAUGUGGUUUAAUUCGAUGAUACGCGAGGAACCUUACCCGGGCUUAAAUUGCAGAUGAAUUACGGUGAAAGCCGUAAGCCGCAAGGCAUCUGUGAAGGUGCUGCAUGGUUGUCGUCAGCUCGUGCCGUGAGGUGUCGGCUUAAGUGCCAUAACGAGCGCAACCCUUGUUGUCAGUUACUAACAGGUUCCGCUGAGGACUCUGACAAGACUGCCAUCGUAAGAUGUGAGGAAGGUGGGGAUGACGUCAAAUCAGCACGGCCCUUACGUCCGGGGCUACACACGUGUUACAAUGGGGGGUACAGAGGGCCGCUACCACGCGAGUGGAUGCCAAUCCCCAAAACCUCUCUCAGUUCGGACUGGAGUCUGCAACCCGACUCCACGAAGCUGGAUUCGCUAGUAAUCGCGCAUCAGCCACGGCGCGGUGAAUACGUUCCCGGGCCUUGUACACACCGCCCGUCAAGCCAUGGGAGCCGGGGGUACCUGAAGUGCGUAACCGCGAGGAGCGCCCUAGGGUAAAACUGGUGACUGGGGCUAA
rnacentral:rRNA from 1 species